UACGUAGGCAGCGAGCGUUGUUCGGAGUUACUGGGCGUAAAGGGUGUGUAGGCGGUUUUCUAAGUUUGGUGUGAAAUCUCCCGGCUCAACCGGGAGGGUGCGCCGAAAACUGGGAGACUAGAGUGCGGGAUGGGAGAGUAGAAUUCCUGGUGUAGCGGUGAAAUGCGUAGAUAUCAGGAGGAAUACCGGUGGUGUAGACGGCUCUCUGGACCGCCACUGACGCUGAGACACGAAAGCGCGGGUAGCAAACAGG
rnacentral:rRNA from 1 species